AGAGAAGGAGCUGGGAAACACAUUGUAGCAGGAGCUAAGAAGGUGCUCAUCACAGCACCUGGUAAAGGAGACAUCCCCACCUAUGUGGUUGGUGUCAAUGAAUAUGAUUACAGUGGAGAUGAACCAAUCAUCAGCAAUGCCUCUUGCACCACUAACUGCCUUGCACCCUUUGUCAAGGUCCUUGACCAGAAAUUCGGUAAUGUGCCUUGUCAUCACUUUUUCUGUCAAAUUCAUUCCUCAUCCAUCACAUUGAAACGUCUUUCAAAACAAAACAACUAAACUCUCACUUCAAUAACUCAUCCAUCACUCAGGUUUUAGUCAUUAUUGUAACAGGUGGAAAACGAAACAAAAUAGAACUAACAUGAAUUACAUUUUUUAAAACCAUAGAUUAAAACAAAUAUUUAAUGCAAUUAAGAACUAAAAUGAAUCAACAUGAUGUGAUAUUGAUAAGGACACAAUCAAAGUUUAUUUUCAAGAAUAAGAUCUCUUGACAUAAAGUCAACAUUAGUCUUUAUUCUCAAUAGAAAAAUAUCCUGGUUUUAGCAGAAAAUAAUUAUAUCUUCACACUCCAAUAAAUUUGCAAUAAUUUGAUAACCACUAUUUUGUACAUCUUUCUCUCUUUUUAUUUACAAUUACAACGUUUACUUUCUCUAAUAAUAAUACUUUAUAACCAAGUCGAUUAUAUAGUUGUCUUAAACAUCAUUUCUUUAUAUUAGAAUGACUUCGCAUGCUAUAUUAGAGAAUAAAGUGAAGGUCUACAUGUUUUAUAUGUUAUAUAUGUAUGUGGUUAGAAUUGUAGCUCCAAGUUCAUAUAUAUAUAUAUAUAUAUGGAAUAAAAAUGGUUAUGCAUAGAAUAUUAGAGACUAAAGUGAAGUUUUAGAUGUUUUAAAAGAUGGCAAUGGAGACUGACAAUCCAUGGCAGGUAUCAUCAAGGGCACAAUGACUACCACUCACUCGUACACUGGUGACCAGAGGCUUCUUGAUGCUAGCCACCGUGACCUAAGGCGUGCUAGGGCAGCAGCUCUGAACAUUGUCCCCACUUCAACAGGAGCAGCAAAGGCAGUGGCCCUUGUGCUGCCAACCCUGAAAGGCAAACUGAAUGGCAUUGCACUGCGUGUGCCAACCCCAAAUGUCUCAGUAGUAGACCUUGUUGUUCAGGUCUCAAAGAAGACCUUUGCAGAAGAAGUGAAUGCAGCAUUCAGAGAGAGUGCAGAGAAGGAGCUGAAGGGAAUCCUCUCAGUCUGUGAUGAGCCUCUUGUGUCUGUUGACUUCAGGUGCACUGAUGUGUCCUCAACCGUUGACUCCUCGUUGACCAUGGUGAUGGGAGAUGACAUGGUGAAGGUGAUUGCAUGGUAUGACAACGAGUGGGGUUACUCCCAAAGGGUUGUGGAUUUGGCUGACAUUGUUGCCAACAAAUGGAAGUGAUCAAAAGCUCAUUGGUAAUUAAUCAUGUACCAUGCCAUUGUAAUUUUGUAUGCUUACUACUACUACUACAACACUUUUGUUGCUUCAUUCCUUCUAAACAACUACUGAGAAACACAACCAUCAAUUUUCUCUCCCUUCUCAUUGUGCAAUAAAAUUCUUACCUUCGAAUCUUAAUGUUUGUG
rnacentral:lncRNA from 1 species